CUUUGUAGUUGUCAUUCAAGAAGUUUGAAGAUGUUUUCAAGGAAAAUUGUGUAGUGUUCAAGUUAUGGAAUAUACAAAUAUCCCUAUUCCCCUAUUCCCCCUCCCAAGUUAAAUGCCCUCUUAUUAGAAAGCACCCCUGUGAACCCCUGGGAUGACUCGAUGCUUUCAACCCCUUUAUUCCUAUGUUCUGUUUGCCUUCAGAAUGUUCUUUCUAUGCUUUUCUUUCUGCAUUUUGGUACCAUUUUCCCUUAGCUGUUUCUCAACAAUUUUUCCUUAUUCCUAGUCUUUUUAAGGGGAUAAUACUUUUCUAUUUUGCAGUUUUAUUCUUUAUGGCACUUCAUUUCUCUACCGCCACCAUGUUUUUUGUUUGUUUACUCUUUCAGAUAGAAUCAUUUGGUUAAGAGUGUCUUAUUUUUCCACAAGCACAAAUCUCUGAUUGUUCCUUUCUUUAAUAUUGUCAAAAUCUCACUGCUAUUACUCAUUGGUAUAAGAAUUUGAUUUUUUUAAUGUCUUAAGAUCUUUUUAACCCAGAUCUUGACAUCACUUCUCUGACGUUUUGUUUAUUUUCAUUGUAAUUUGUGUGUCCAAUUGAAGAAUGUUCAAAUGAGUUGAGGGUGGGUCAACAUACUGAUGGAGAACUCUAGACAAAAAUUGCUGCCAGGGUUCAACCUGAUCUUCAGUUUAACUGCCAUGGCUGCUCACCUCUUUAAGUCUGUUAGCUCAACAGCCACAUAUUUUUCUUUAAGGUUUGCCAUUCUGUGGACACUAGACCAGUAUCUAAAAUUAUUAUGUGUGCUUUACUUGUUUUUGUUUUUUGACCAGGGUAUAUUUGCAGGGUGGGAGUUGCAUUGUAAUUAUGAAGAAACCAAAUUGGUAAUAAAAGGUCAUUUCAAACAUUGCUUUCUAUGCUGUCAACUUAAGAACUCUGCUUUUGAGUUAGGUGAAAUCUACAUACCCACUCUUCAGCUGCAGAGUAGAAUUAUUCACCAUUAUUUAUUCAUGCCUUGCUUGGGAUAUAGAAUACAAUGGAUUAUUUGACCUUGUCUUUUUAAGAUGAAAAUGUAAAGUAAAUUUCUUUUAAAUAGUAUGAUAUCAUCAUACCUUGUUUGUCUUUUUACAGAUACUAUUCGUUACUUGUCCUUGCAUGACAACAAAUACAUCAGGUACUUUCCUGGACAUAGCAAAAGGGUGGUGGCCUUGUCCAUGUCACCUGUGGAUGACACUUUCAUUUCUGGGUCUCUUGAUAAGACCAUUCGACUCUGGGAUCUCCGGUCUCCUAACUGCCAGGGCCUCAUGCAUCUGCAGGGGAAGCCAGUUUGUUCUUUUGAUCCAGAAGGGUUAAUUUUCGCUGCAGGUGUCAACUCUGAAAUGGUCAAGCUUUAUGACCUUCGUUCUUUUGAUAAGGGGCCAUUUGCUACCUUUAAGAUGCAGUAUGAUCGAACUUGUGAGUGGACAGGACUUAAAUUCAGCAAUGAUGGCAAGCUCAUCCUCAUUUCCACCAACGGCAGCUUCAUUCGUCUGAUUGAUGCAUUCAAAGGAGUGGUGAUGCACACGUUUGGGGGUUAUGCCAACAGCAAAGCUGUCACACUGGAGGCUUCAUUUACUCCAGACUCUCAGUUUAUUAUGAUUGGUUCAGAGGAUGGCAAGAUCCAUGUCUGGAAUGGAGAGAGCGGUAUAAAAGUAGCUGUGUUGGAUGGUAAACACACAGGCCCGAUUACCUGUUUGCAAUUCAACCCCAAGUUCAUGACUUUUGCCAGUGCGUGUUCCAACAUGGCCUUUUGGUUGCCCACCAUUGAUGACUGACCCUGUUGCUGCUUGGCUAUUUCUGUACAGUGAGGGCGGCCAGCAGGAAGAAACUCAGAGGGAACUGAGAUAAUAGUGGGAUUGGAUCAUUUGACUGGGCUGGAGAACAUCCUUUUACAUGGCCUUCCCAUGGAUGUGCUGUACAUCUGCUCAAAAGAAAAUAAUUACUUUGAUGAGCGUCUUCAAAAGGACUCUUGGUGCAACAGACUCAAUUGGAACUCAGCUUUUCUAACUGUCACUGCACCAAGCUCUGCUGGAGGAGUGACCAGACUCACGAUUUGGUAUAGUGGGGCUCUCAAGCAUCUUCAAUUUGAAUGUACAUGCUGCUGAGGAGCCGGUGAAGUCAUCAGUUCCGUACAUCCCUUCUCCUACCCUCCAACUGCAUGGGAAGCCAAAGUCCUGGUUUUGAAAUGCUUGGGCAGCUCAGCCGCUUGCCCUCACCCUGCAUGUCUUGUUACUGGGUCUCCCUGUGUACUUGUGGCAUUAUCCACAACCAUCAUGUUUCUUAGGUGCCAAACAUUUACAGAAACAUUUUCAUAUAUCUUGGGGUCAGAGAAAGGGACAGAUACAGAAGGACCUUGCUUGCAGGAAGCCAUGCAGUUAGUUUCUGCAGUUAGUCGUGUGAGGCUAGGUGGUCGGGCAGGCCUCGGGCUGUAGGUGUUGGGUGGGAAAAAGACCCAAGGGCCUGAAAGGGAGGGAAAGGGGAGGGUAGCGGGAGGGUAGCAGGUGAGUUCCUAGGGCUGGAAGGUUUAGCAGCAGCCUGGUGCAGUGCCCUGUCAUCAAGACAAACCCACGGUCCUCCUGGGUGCCUACCAAGCUUGGUUUGUACAAAAGCAAGGUGGGAGUCUAUUUUUGUACAUGAGAUACAUCACACUUACCUGUGGGCCAGUAUUGUGAAGUGAGUCUGAGUUGUUUACACUGAUGCCUUCCCUGCCCACCACAAAUUGUGUACAUAGUCUUCAGAUGAUACCACCCCUUUCCCCAGCUCCCAACCAAGAGCUGGUUCUAGGCCUGUGUUAUAUGUCAUAUUUAGCCUUUUUAUAUAUGACCUUUGAUUUCUGUUGUUUGUAUUUUAGCACAGUGUAUGCACCUUCAUUUAAAUACAUCUGUGUGCAUACAGAUACGCAUAUAUGUGUGUGCGUAUGCAUAUAUCUCUCAUCUGUAGUUUCCAAGAGUUCAGCGGAAGCAGAUGGAGUCCUGCAGCCCAGGAGACACCCUGCAUCCCUGCUAAUAGUGUUUGCCACAAGUAUUAGUGAGUCUUCCUUAUUAAUAUUUUCAUUUCAGAAGACUGAAGCAAAGCUUAUAGUGUUUGCUGUUUCUUUGGCAGCUAAGUGAGGGUCUUGGGAUGACUUGCUGUGUUCCUCAAGCUGCACUUUGGGGCCAUCUCUGCAGUAUUAGCCCCCUUUUUGCUUGGUGGUACUCUAUCUGUGCCUGUGUGUGUGUGUGAUAGUCACUCUUGCAUGGCUUCCAUGUCUGGUUUGUGGCAUUUGGGGAUAAGGUGCUGAAGCCAGAGCAUUUGCAGUUUGUUUGAGGCCUCGUUGCCAAUGAUAGAUCACUCCCGUUGACCUGGUAUGUCUGCUUGCUUGCUGCUUUUCCUUGCUUUCUCUUGGAAGAGGAAAGGACUCUGGUCAGGCCCAGGCUGAGUGAGAUGAGCUGCAGCUGGCUCAUGGCCUUCUUAGAGCAGAGAGAGGAGUAUGUCAUUUUACUAAGUUCCUAAACAAACAUUUAUGCAGGCAACACUCCUUGCAGAUCCAGAAACUGAGGCACAAUAGGGUUAUGACUUGCUCAAGAAUAUGUAGCUGCUAGGGGGUAAAUCAAGGCAUCACAAUUUCUGUUCAGCGGGCAGGAAUAGGCUGUGAAUUGCUAGCACUUUUUUUUUUUUAAGCAAUUACUUUUUGACUUGUUCCUCUAACUGAAAGUGCAAGAGGCGUACACCUUUCCCAAAUGUAGACUAGAAUCUGCAGGAUGCCACCCACUGUAUAGCUCUGCUUUCCCAGAGAGGAAGAACUUUUAGAAACCAAAUGAUCUUAAUUGUUAUUGCCCACCCCUGGCUUUUCAGGGUAGAAAAUUCACAGUAGGAAUGAUUGUUAAGAGAGAGUGCUUGGAACCAUGGGUUAACAGGAAAGGCUACCUAACUUCACGUAUCUGCAACCAGAGCAGCCACCAAGCAUUACUUAGCAGCAGGAAAAUGAUUGUAUUUGAGUUCCUGUGUGUCCAAAACUGAGGCACCAUGUUCUUUGAAAACAUGCCACCUCAAGGCCGGGCGCGGUGGCUCACGCCUGUAAUCCCAGCACUUUGGGAGGCCGAGGCGGGCGGAUCACCGGAGGUCGGGAGUUUGAGACCAGCCUGACCAACAUGGAGAAACCCCAUCUCUACUAAAAAUACAAAAUUAGCCGGGCGUGGUGGCAUGCGCCUAUAAUCUCAGCUACUUGGGAGGCUGAAGCAGGAGAAUUGCUUGAACCCAGGAGGCGGAGGUUGCGGUGAGUUGAGAUCGUGCCAUUGCACUCCGGCCUGGGCAACAACAGCAAAACUCCGUCUC
rnacentral:sRNA from 1 species